rnacentral:lncRNA from 13 species
UGAAUUUCCUACUCUUCUGGGAGCUGAAGCAGAAGACUGCUCUCUCAUGGAGGCCCCGAGGGCAUGAGUCCUAUGGAUUUGAUUCUCCCUUGCUCUCCCAUAUGCCUCUUUCCCAGGACACUUGAAACUCAUCACUUUCACCACCACUGUGUCCACCAAAACCUUUGUAUCAUCUAUAUCUUUUUUUUUUGAGACGGAGUUUCGCUCGUUACCCAGGCUGGAGUGCAGUGGCGCAAUCUCGGCUCAUCGCAACCUCCGCCUCCUGGGUUCAGGCAAUUCUCCUGCCUCAGCCUCCUGAGUAGCUGGGAUUACAGGCAUGUGCCACCAUGCCCAGCUAAUUUUUUGCAUUUUCAGUGGAGACGGGGUUUCACCAUGUUGACCAGGUUGGUCUCGAUCUCUCGUGAUCCACCCGCCUCGGCCUCCCAAAGUGCUGGGGUUACAGGCUUGAGCCACCGUGCCUGGCCUCAUCUAUAUCUUAAAGGGGCUGCAGCCUGACUUCCCAGAGGAGUUUGAGUCAACUUGUCUCACCAGUGUGCAAGCCUGAGGCAUGAGUCACUGUUCAGGUCAUACUGAUGUUCGCUGUUGCCCCAGUGAUAGGUUCCUGAGACAUCACAAUGGAGAAUCUCCUGUGGCAGUGUGUCAGGAAUGGGGCUCAGGCCCCUCCCUGCCAUUAUGUCCAUAGGAUAGUCUCUAGAGGCCAGGAUUCGCUGAAGUGAGACGAGGAGGAAGGGUCUUCAGGUGGAGGGAACUCCAAGAAAGCAGCACGGAAUCCCUGUCUCAGGCCUGCACUAACCGGGUACAGGGCCUCCACAAGCGAGCGGUCUUCUGUUUUAGCUGCCAGAAGAGGAGACUCAGGACUCCCCAUGGGCCCUCCAGACUAUGAAUCCCAUUUUACAUCCAAUCUGGGCUUCACGAACGCCAGAUGGAACCACUGGAGAAAGAGUGAUGACUGGACAGGCAGUGGGUUUGUGGAGGCCUGGAGAAAAGGCAUGGAUGAGACAGUCAGGUUCAAACCCAUAGGACUCAUGUCCUCAGGGCCUCCACAAGCUAUCAGUCUUCUGCUUCAACUCCUCAUGGAAGAGGCGAUUAAAGGUGCCAAAUGGGCUUUCCAGAUUCCACCUCGGAUCAUAUGUUGGACCCCACCUAGGCCUGAGACUGGAAUUCCAAGCUGCUUCCCGGGCUCUUUCUCUGCCCGAGGUUUCUUCUUCUUGGCCCACCUUAGGCAAAUCCUGGCCUCCGGAGACAACAGAACUGCAGAUCCAGGAGCUGCCUGGGAGUGAGUUAUAAAUUGCCACUGCUGUGUGUCUGUGUGUGUAUGGAAGUGGUAUCGUUGUGUGUGUGCACUUUUAUGUCUCUCGGUGAUUUCUCUCUCGCUCCUUUCCCACUCUCUCUUUCUCACUCUCUGCAACUGUGUACAUGUGUGUGCCUGUGUGUGUUGGUACAGGUGUUUCCUGUGUGAUGGAGGACAUUUUCUUGCAUGACGGCCUCUCUUUUGCUGAGCCUCUCCCCUCGUCUCUGCCUGGGUCAUGUGACUGGCCAUCAGUGGUUUGCUCUUUGGUUCCAGCUGGCGUCUGUGAAGUCCUGGGCAACAUGGAGAGGGAGCUGCAUGGGACCAGCAUGGGUUUCAGUCACCUCCCAAUCCUAAGUGGCCUCUUUUUUAGGACCAAGAUGACCAUACCCCCAGCCAUGGACAAAAUCCUCAACAUAGCUCACUGUCCACUUGCAGGAGGUCUGACCAGCAACCCUAAAGAAGGCUCUUCAUUUCAUAGUGAAGAUGGCUCUCACUACUCUUGCCUUUGCACACCUUGAGAAAUCUAGCCACAGCUGGACACAACAGGACACCAAGAAUGGGAUGUGGCAAGCAUCUCUCUCACUCUAACAGUGGCCUUUCUGAAACAGUUUGGCACUCCUUCCCCCUUCCACAAUGCUGUGAAGGUGGCAUUGUGAUGUAUUUGGCCUGGACUCUGGCUUAUGCUCUGUCCUGUCUCUUUCUCCAUCUACCCUCUUUCUGAAAAGCUUGGAGGUUUCUUAGGCUGUCUCAGUGUCUUCAAGAAAGAACACUCCCCAGUCCAGCAGGGGGAAAUGCCUUGGGAAUGCGUUUCAUCUCCGUUUCCCCCUCUAAACCUGUUUCUGGAUGAUUGGGCAAGUUCAAUGGUCAUGGAUCUCUGGGUUUCCUUACCCAUGUGAAACA